GGCAAAACAGAAAUGCAUUUGUGCAUUGUCAUUAUUAGAUUUAUGGCUGUAAUUUUUGUAGCGCUCACAGUAGUCGAAGCCAAUCCAAUUCACCGACCGUCGAUGUUAUCAGAAUGGUUGAGGACGUUAAAAGACGAGAAUGAUCGUGACACCAAUAUCGGCUACAGAGAAAUUACUGCAUUUAAGCGCAAUCCAACGUCCGGACACUCAAUUGGUUUAUCGUUAGAUAUAAUCAGAGACAGACUUGAGAAGGCUGAAUCAGAAAGAAUGCAGCAAGAAAAACAGAGCGACAUCAAUAGAUACAGACAAAACACUGAACUCAUGACAGGACUUGGAAGACGACGAAGAAGUAUGGAAGAAGUUUAUCGACAAUAGACGUGGGUUUUUACGCCUCCAGGUGCCUUCAAGCUUGCUUUGAUUGGAUUUCCAAUAUAGACGUAUUCAUGGCAGUGGACAAAGUUAUUACUGGUAGCUGCUCUUUACAUAGCACUUAAUGUUAAUCUUGCUCAUUUUUUCUUAUUUAUUUAUUUGUCUAUUUUAACUUACUUCGUAGAUAUGCUCUCAAAAUGUAUUUCAAAGAAUAUUUACUCCCAAAGAACGGACACAGACAUAUUUUUAUAAAUCUCAGAUCAAAUGACAUGGAUGCCAUUUUUUUGAAAAAGCAAAAACAAUACCAUUCGAAAUAGAGCUGGCGGAUAAAUUUCACUAAAACACAGUGAACUGUCAUAGUAAUUGCAGAUAUGAUCCAAAAGUGUAGAUUCUGAAUCUGUAUGCUCUUUCUGUCAAUAAAAAAGAUAUUUUAUUGAAUAAAACAUUUUAAAUUCACAAA